AGCGAACAUUGGCGGUAGGCUUAACACAUGCAAGUCGAGCGAGGCGUAAUAGUCGAGCGGCGAACGGGUGAGUAGCACAUGGGAAUCUACCCUGAAGUGGGGGAUAACGUUCAGAAAUGAACGCUAAUACCGCAUAAUCCACAUUGGGAAAGCGUUGCAGCGCUUUAGGAUGAGCCCAUGGCUGAUUAGCUAGUUGGUGAGGUAAUGGCUCACCAAGGCGACGAUCAGUAGCUGGUCUGGGAGGAUGAUAGCCACACUGGAACUGAGACACGGUCCAGACUCCUACGGGAGGCAGCAGUGGGGAAUCUUGCGCAAUGGGGGCAACCCUGACGCAGCCAUACCGCGUGAGUGAUGAAGGUCUUCGGAUUGUAAAGCUCUUUUGUCAGGGAAGAAAUGGACUGGGCUAAUACCCUGGUUAGAUGACGGUACCUGAAGAAUAAGCACCGGCUAACUACGUGCCAGCCGCCGCGGUAA
rnacentral:rRNA from 1 species